rnacentral:lncRNA from 1 species
GGUUGAUAUAAAUAAAUGAAAUCAUGUAAAUGAUGUAAUUGUUCCUUCAUAUAAAUAAAGGUUUUAAAAAAUAAUUCAAUGGUUUAAUUAUUUUUUGUUAGAAAUAAAAUAUGCCUGCCAUUUUGAUGACAAUUCUGACAUCUUAAGGGGGUAGACCUUGGUUCAGGGAGAUAACUCUUUAAAUCAGUUAAGUGUUUGUAAAAGUCAAGUUCAUCAAUGUAUUUUAAGCAUUUACCUGAAACAGAUUGAAAAUAAUCUAUGUAACCUAGAAGCUUAGAAUAUAUUUUUGAAAAUGGUUGACACAAACGUACUGAUGAUUUUAAGAGUUAUUUCCCUUAACCUAGGUCUACCUCCUUAAAAGAGAUAUAUUCCAUUGUACACUUUAUAUUGUAAACUCUGUCGUAAAUAUAAUUUUUGAGCAAUUUAAGACUUUUCCCCCAAAUAUAACACAAUAUUGUUACUUAAAUAAUUUCACACAGUUAUGGC